AUGCUCGCUUCGGCAGCACGUAUACUAAAAUUGGAACUAUACAGAGAAGAUUAGAAGGCACCUGCACAAGGAUGAUGUGCAAAUUCAUGAAAUGUUGCAUAUUUUU